AAAUAUAUAGUAAUUAUAUCAUCAAUAAAUGUAAAAAAGAAACCGUUUUGAGUAGUUGAAUAAAAAAUCAAAAAUAUAAUUUACCAACCUUUGAUCUAGAAAGAAGUACAAAAAGAUGCAAAGAAGACAAUCAGAAAAAGAUGUCGCACCAAGUUCCACGCGCGGUACCCUAUUUUUUUCUUCAAUUGCUUUUACCAUUGUUUUGAAUGCUGCUAGCGUUCAUAGGCUGCAAAACAAGCAUAGCU
rnacentral:lncRNA from 1 species